GCCAAAAUAGGAUACGCCAGAAAUGAACUUGCACGCAUCCAAGGCAAGUGCAGCAGAACGGAGGACAAGGUGACCCACACUAUACGCUUCCUAGAUAUAUUGAAAACCAACGGGUAUCCUAGAUCCAUUGUAAAUUGGCAUAAGUAUCCAAGACGACUAACAUGCCGAGCACAUAGAAAACCCAGCAACACAUGCUUCCUUAAAAUACCCCCUUUUAGCGAGAGGAUAACUACAGCCAUCCGAAGAGCCAUAAGAAGAGAAGGGCUAGACAUAUAACUAGCCCACUCCGGCCCCUCACUGAGAGGACACCUCGCAAAGAAACGAAUAAGGGACAACAAUCAAUGCACAUUAACAAAUUGUCCCAUCCGUGACACAGAUUUAUGCCAACGGGUAAAUGUUGUGUAUAGAAUACAAUGUAACAAAUGCAACAAGUUAUGUGUGAGUAGCACAACAAGACCGUUACACGUCCGCAUCAAAGAGCAUCUGAACACGAGAGCCUCCUCCUUCAGAAAACAUCUAGACAGAUGCCGGAAUACUGACAAAAGCAUAACAGUCACAAUUGAGGCCAAUGAAAGAAAUUUGGGUAAUCUAAGAAUUAAGGAAGCUUUACUCAUACACAUACUAGGACCCCAAAUUAACAACAGGCUGGAGGUUGGUAAUCAAUAUAUUAUUUAGCUACAUCUGGAUGUGUGUAGGUUCAUUCUUAAUAAGAUGCUCAUGUAUUGUUUAUAACAAGAAAAAAGAGGAGAAAAAAAAGGUAAAAAUAGAGAAGCUGCACGUAUAACACAUAAUUUAGAAGCAGCGCUACAGAUGUACCAACACACACGAGAUUGAAACAUAGCCGGACCUCACGCACUUCUCAUGAGGAAUUCCGGAAGGAGCUUCGCGAGACCACUACUGAGACGCUUCCGAAAAAAAGAAAAGCCGUUGGAAAACAGUUUAUAGCAGAGACUCCAUCUAAGAAUAUCUGAAGAAGGAAUUGUAUUCCGAAAUAUCAUCGGACUAUAGAUAACUAAAUUACAACAGAUCUGCUGCCCUGAGCUUAUGGUGUCAAUAUUGGCAAUUAUCUGAUGAAGAAGCAGAACGAAAAGCAAAUAAACAUAAUAUCGUAAUUACAUCA